UUAUCACUAGACUGUAAUGUAAACACUGCAUUUUCUCUGAAAAGACAGUGUUUACAGCAAAAAGCCUGAAGGUAAUGAUUCUACUCACCAGAACAAAUUCAAUAAGCUGUUCUGGUGGCUAAAGUGUCCCUUUAAUCACCAGAGGCUGAAUAAUUCUGGACUCUAGAUGUACAUCACUCCAGAAACAUUCAUUAACUCUUUCAAAAUUAGUUAGUGAAAUGCCUUGUGAUUCCGAUUGUACUGACAUGUAAAUGGUCCUUUAAAGGAGCACUUUUGAGCAUUGUAACCACUACAUAGCACUGUAGUGGUUAUGGUGCAAAGCAUCCUCUGUCACUGACCCACAGUAAAGAAUGAACAGAAUAAGUCUUGCCUGGAUCCCUCAGGCACCUGGGAUCUUUCUGGUCUUCUGUGGUAUUGCUAAAAUGGAAAUCACCAUUCUACUUGAACAAUAUCACUUAGGACUUAAUUGGCAGAAAGCGUCUGCUGACUGCCUGCCUAUGAAUUAUGUGCAGAGGUGGACAAGUUUGAUAUUGCCAAAAGAGGAAAACUGGGGCACCCAGGUAAGAGUCAAAUCUAUGAAAAACACACCUUAGUGUGGGACAGUGCCAGGGGCCUACUGACAACAGUGCGAUGUAGUGGAUAUGGUGCUUCAAAUACCCCUUUAAAGAGCUGUAAAUUAAUAACAAUAAUGUGACGGAGCUCCCGUACUCUGAUCAAGUCAGCUUCCUCACUGCCGCAGGGAACUCUGUGACACUUCACACCCAGUCACUGAAGCUUGAAUGGAGUCUCUCAGGACCUCUUCCACCCAACCAGGCUGUAGCUCUCUCCUUCCAGGUAGAUCUCAUUCUCUUUGCGUUUUCAGUUCCUUUCCCAGGCCGAUAUUCACAGCUCUGCUCACACUGUGGCCGGCUACUGCUUUUAUAAAAGCACUUGUGGCUCUCAGCCUCUUUUGAUUGGCCUGGUAUCCAGGGACAAAGCAGCCAGGUAACCGGUCUGAACUCUUUUACUGAGAUCUCAAAAUAAAUCAACCAGGACACACAAUUCCAAAAGUAACUAACACACUAUACUGUAAUUUUUAAACAAGGGCUAGCUUGUGCUGAGUUGUCUUUAAGCAUGUGGUGAAAACCAUAAAUAUCAACAAACAUACAUAAUGUGAAGAACAAGCAAGAUAACAAUGCC